GACGAACGCUGGCGGCGUGCCUAAUACAUGCAAGUCGAGCGCUGAAGGUUGGUACUUGUACCGACUGGAUGAGCAGCGAACGGGUGAGUAACGCGUGGGUAAUCUGCCUUUGAGCGGGGGACAACAUUUGGAAACGAAUGCUAAUACCGCAUAAAAACUUUAAACACAAGUUUUAAGUUUGAAAGAUGCAAUUGCAUCACUCAAUGAUGAUCCCGCGUUGUAUUAGCUAGUUGGUGAGGUAAAGGCUCACCAAGGCGAUGGUACCGAGCCCACCUGAGAGGGUGGUUGGGCAAAACGGGAAGGGGAACCGGCCCAAGCGUCCAAGGGGAGCAGCCGGAGGGAAACGUCGGGAAUGGGGGAAAGUCUGAACGAGCAACGCCGGGGUGGGGAAGAAGGGUUUCGGAUCGGAAAACUCUGUUGGUAGGGAAGAAAGUUAGUGGGAGUGGAAAGCUCAUCAAGUGACGGUAACUACUCAGAAAGGGACGGCUAACUACGUG
rnacentral:rRNA from 1 species